AUCACAGCCUGAACACCACAAUUAUUACCACCACCAUUACCAUGGGUAACGGGGCGGGCUGACGCAUCCAGGAAAAACAAAAAAAGAAGCCCGCACCUCACGAGUGCGGGUUUUUUUUUG
rfam:Pantoea stewartii subsp. stewartii DC283 WGS_Sequence01, whole genome shotgun sequence.